AAACUCUGGCCCAUGCUUUCCCUCACUCCUCCUGACUCCUGCCCAGCCCUGGGCUACCUGUGUGGCCCUCCAUGGCCAGUGUCCUUCCCUCUUGGGAACUUUGCUUAGGGCCUUGCUAAGCUGCUGAAGCUGACCUCAAACUAGUGAUCCUCCUGCUCCCAGCCUCCUGAGUCACUGGAAUUACAGACUCCAUGGAGUCUUGGAGUGGAGACCCAAGUGCACUGGGAAGAGGCGUGAAUGGGAAGAAGAAAGGACCAAUACACGCAAAACUAUUCUUUGAAGAAACUUGACUGAGAAGAAAAGGAAAGAGACAAGGAAAUCUGUAGAGAUGCAGGAGGAAAGAAGCUUUUUGUUUGCUUUUUAAAGAAUGGGACAGUCUAUUUAAAAAAAUGUAUAUUGGAAUAAUUUUACAUUUGGAGAAAAGUUGCAAAAAUCAUACAUAGCUCCUUUAAGCCCUUUACCUAGUUUCGUCUAAUUGCAAGUAAUUUCCUCAUUGCAUGUGACCAUUGUGCAAUGAUCAAAACCAGGAGAAUGACAUCAAAACAAUAAUAUUAACUAAUUUACACACCA